rnacentral:rRNA from 1 species
GGGGACCCGCAAGCGGUGGAUGAUGUGGAUUAAUUCGAUGCAACGCGAAAAACCUUACCUACCCUUGACAUGUCAGGAACCUCGGAGAGAUCUGAGGGUGCUCGAAAGAGAGCCUGAACACAGGUGCUGCAUGGCUGUCGUCAGCUCGUGUCGUGAGAUGUUGGGUUAAGUCCCGCAACGAGCGCAACCCUUGUCAUUAGUUGCUACGCAAGAGCACUCUAAUGAGACUGCCGGUGACAAACCGGAGGAAGGUGGGGAUGACGUCAAGUCCUCAUGGCCCUUAUGGGUAGGGCUUCACACGUCAUACAAUGGUACAUACAGAGGGCCGCCAACCCGCGAGGGGGAGCUAAUCCCAAAAAGUGUAUCGUAGUCCGGAUUGUAGUCUGCAACUCGACUACAUGAAGUUGGAAUCGCUAGUAAUCGCGGAUCAGCAUGUCGCGGUGAAUACGUUCCCGGGUCUUGUACACACC